UACGUAGGUGGCAAGCGUUGUUCGGAAUUAUUGGGCGUAAAGGGCGCGUAGGCGGUUCUGUAAGUCGGUUGUGAAAGCCCGGGGCUCAACCCCGGAGGGUCGACUGAUACUGCAGGACUAGAGUACGGAAGAGGUAGCUGGAAUUUCCGGUGUAGCGGUGAAAUGCGUAGAUAUCGGGAGGAACACCUGAGGCGAAGGCGGGCUACUGGGCCGAUACUGACGCUGAGGCGCGAAAGCCAGGGGAGCAAACGGG
rnacentral:rRNA from 1 species